rnacentral:rRNA from 1 species
AUCGGAGAGUUUGAUCCUGGCUCAGGACGAACGCUGGCGGCGUGCCUAAUACAUGCAAGUCGAGCGGACAGAUGGGAGCUUGCUCCCUGAUGUUAGCGGCGGACGGGUGAGUAACACGUGGGUAACCUGCCUGUAAGACUGGGAUAACUCCGGGAAACCGGGGCUAAUACCGGAUGGUUGUUUGAACCGCAUGCUUCAAACAUAAAAGGUGGCUUCGGCUACCACUUACAGAUGGACCCGCGGCGCAUUAGCUAGUUGGUGAGGUAACGGCUCACCAAGGCAACGAUGCGUAGCCGACCUGAGAGGGUGAUCGGCCACACUGGGACUGAGACACGGCCCAGACUCCUACGGGAGGCAGCAGUAGGGAAUCUUCCGCAAUGGACGAAAGUCUGACGGAGCAACGCCGCGUGAGUGAUGAAGGUUUUCGGAUCGUAAAGCUCUGUUGUUAGGGAAGAACAAGUACCGUUCGAAUAGGGCGGUACCUUGACGGUACCUAGCCAGAAAGCCACGGCUAACUACGUGCCAGCAGCCGCGGUAAUACGUAGGUGGCAAGCGUUGUCCGGAAUUAUUGGGCGUAAAGGGCUCGCAGGCGGUUUCUUAAGUCUGAUGUGAAAGCCCCCGGCUCAACCGGGGAGGGUCAUUGGAAACUGGGGAACUUGAGUGCAGAAGAGGAGAGUGGAAUUCCACGUGUAGCGGUGAAAUGCGUAGAGAUGUGGAGGAACACCAGUGGCGAAGGCGACUCUCUGGUCUGUAACUGACGCUGAGGAGCGAAAGCGUGGGGAGCGAACAGGAUUAGAUACCCUGGUAGUCCACGCCGUAAACGAUGAGUGCUAAGUGUUAGGGGGUUUCCGCCCCUUAGUGCUGCAGCUAACGCAUUAAGCACUCCGCCUGGGGAGUACGGUCGCAAGACUGAAACUCAAAGGAAUUGACGGGGGCCCGCACAAGCGGUGGAGCAUGUGGUUUAAUU